GUUUGUGUUUACUUCUUUGCUUGUGUGCUGUUAGCUGCUAUCACAUGAGAUGCCAGCCCAGGGGCCUGGUAGUUACCAUGGAACCAGGCAGCAGAAGGAGCAGAUAAACUCAAAACAUUGAGUUCUGUGGGUGACAAGGAGCCAGGAGUUCUGAAGCCCUAAAAAGUAUCUUUUAUCAUGGAGGACCCAUGCCUCUACUGAUGAUAGUGGGAGGAUGUCUUCUGUACCCUUCACACUGGAUUCCGCACGAUUCAUUUACACGCAUCGGAUGGCCACUCUCAGAUGAAAACCUGCUGCAGAGUGGCAGGCGUGGGAUGUUAGUUUUUACUUUAUGACUGAGAUGGUCCCUGCUGUUACGGAGUUUACAGACUAGAAUGAGGGGAUCAACACAAACAUCUAUGUGAUUAUACUGAUGAAUGUUUGUCGAGUUGAUGGUAAAUGUUCCACCGAGUUCACAGAAUCUUGGCCUUCGGUUUAUACCUGGAAUGAGCUUAGAGAUCCAGUAUAACUCUCAUCUUACACAAGAAGAAAUCGAAAGACAGAUGGGAUAGCCAUGGCUUCCCCAUUUUCCAGAUGAGGAAACUGAGGAUUAGAGACGCUGAAUACCUUGCUCAAGGACACACGGGCAGAAUGAAAAAUUCCAAUGCCAGAUUUUGUCAUAGCAACCAGAGGCAAAUAUCAAGACAGCAGUAAAGAACAAACUCCAGGAAGGGUUUCCCUGCAGUGCGGCUUGCCUUUCUGUAGGGCACCCAUCAUCUGUGCGAAACCUGGAAGGUUCGAGUGGGUCCUGCAGUUCUUCGUGGGGGGUCUAGUGGAGUCCAGCUUAGCUGACUUCCAGGACCCAACAGGAAAUGCAUCUCUCUGUUGGCCGGGCCAGGUGCAGAAGGACUGGCUGGCUUGCUCCUCAGGUCUUGCACUUGUUGUGUGUUGAUCUUUACUUUUGUAUGUCAAGUUUUUGAAAUUAAAUGUACUGAAUUAUUAUUAUUCCAUCAUGCUUUUCCUCUGAGGAGUUUAAUAAACAAGCCAGUUGCUUUUUUCCUGAAGUGUCCCCUCAAAUGCUCUCUGGAAGAAGGCAGGGUAUAUAUGAGUAAGCAAACAAAACAAUAAGACACAAGAGUCUUCAAAUACCUGCCCACCAGUGUCCCUCGUACUGUUCCUUUCCUCUUUGUGAUCAUUGUCACAGUGAUGCUAUGAGGUCAGUAUCUUUGCCCAUGGGUAAAAUCAUCUCGAGUUUCCCUACAGUCUAGCCUCUUGCUGCAAACACCUUUGAGUU